GUUUGCAGAUAUUCCGAAUAUAUAAUAACGUCAUAUUACUAGGAUAGCAUGAUAAUGAGAGCCCUGACUGAGAUCUGUUUGAGAUCUUACUCACGGUAACUGAUGGAAAAUAAACAAUCUGAGGCAGCACCAUUAAAAUGUGAGGCUACAGGGAUCCUUCUAAUCCAUUGCAUAUUUAUGUAUAUUGCCUUGACCUUCUUGGGAAUGUUUAUA